GGUAGUCCACGCCGUAAACGAUGUCCACUUGGAGAUUGUUCCCUUGAGGAGUGGCUUCCGGAGCUAACGCGUUAAGUCGACCGCCUGGGGAGUACUCCCGCAAGGUUAAAACUCAAGUGAAUUGACGGGGGCCCGCACUUCCGGUGGAGCAUGUGGUUUAAUUCUAUGCAACGGGCAGAACCUUACCUACUCUUGACAUCCAAAGAACUUUCCAGAGAUGGAUUGGUGCCUUCGGGAACUCUGACACAGGUGCUGCAUGGCUGUCGUCCGCUCGUGUUGUGAAAUGUUGGGUUAAGUCCCGCAACGAGCGCAACCCUUAUCCUUUGUUGCCCUCGGUUAGGCCAGGAACUCAAAGGAGACUGCCAGUGAUAAACUGGAGGAAGGUGGGGAUGACGUCAAGUCAUCAUGGCCCUUACGAGUAGGGCUACACACGUGCUACAAUGGCGCAUACAAAGAGAAGCGACCUCGCGAGAGCAAGCGGACCUCAUAAAGUGCGUCGUAGUCCGGAUUGGAGUCUGCAACUCGACUCCAUGAAGUCGGAAUCGCUAGUAAUCGUAGAUCAGAAUGCUACGGUGAAUACGUUCCCGGGCCUUGUACACACCGCCCCUCACCCCAUGGGAGUGGCAUGCAAAAGAAGUAGGUAGCUAAACCUUCCAGAGGAAGACCCCUCCCCGGACACAUAGUUAUCAUGAAGUCGUAACAAGGUAACC
rnacentral:rRNA from 1 species